ncrna:Enterobacter sp. 638 Moco (molybdenum cofactor) riboswitch
GAUGAAAACAUACACUCUAGCCUUGACGCCUGUGUCACAUGAUAUGGCGCCCUGGCCGUGGCGGUUUCGCCACCAGGGUACAGAAAGAAAUGACUGUGCCUCCCGUAUCUGGAAAGGUGUACAUGGCUUCACAAC